AGGUCUGGCCAGUGGGACUCAGACUCCUUCUGCUGCCUGUGGAUCAAAAUGUAGAACUCUCAGCUCCUUCUCCAGCAUCAUGUCUGCCUGCAUGCCACCAUGUUUCCUGCCAUGAAGAUAAUUGACUAAACCUCUAAAACUGCCCUUGUAAACCCACACAUAAGCCACAUCCGAGACACUGGACACUGGAUCUGAUUCCUCGCCGACCUCUCCUGUGUGUUCAAACAGAAGGCUCUUUAGCCAGACUUACCUCCAGAGGUCCUGAGGAUGAGACCCAGGACCUCAAGAAUGCUACACAAGAGCUCUCUGUCACUUCAUAACACCCCAGCCACAAAGAAGUGAUGCCUGCUGUCCUCAGUGUAUCUUAUUGGGAGGCAUUUGAUCUCUGCUUGACCUAUGGAAAAAGAUGUUGACAUUGAUCACUUUGAUUUAAUUUGUUCUGCUCAGCCAAGACUUUAUAGCAUACUGGUUUUGCAUUAUGAUGACUAAUUGGUGAAAGACAUGUCUGUGUAAACAUCCUGUUUAGUUUCUGCCAUGUUUACUACUUGGCAUUUUACUCAAAGGCAAGGUUGGAAGUUUGCCUUGUCCCCAUUUACUGUUUUCUUUCUUUCCCACAAGUGUUUUAGUUAUUUUCGUGUAUGUGAGUAUUUUGCCGGCACGUUAUGUCUGUGUACCAUAUGCAUGCUUGGUGCCCAUGGAGGCCAGAGAGGGCAUCAG